rnacentral:lncRNA from 1 species
AAGAAAUUAUUCACAAAAAUUAAUUCUAUGAAUUAAAAUUACUUACCUCCCCGGCAACGGCGCCAAAAACUUGUUGUGCAAAUUUUAAUGUACUCGCAAGCGCAUGAAUCUAUUGUAGUAUAGAUCAAUAGUGACGAGUGUCGAUCCCACGAGGAGGUAGAUUUUAAUUGUGUGUAGAAUUAAUUUUGUAAAUGGGUGAUUGGAUUUGUGGUGGAAAUGAUUUGGAAUAUGCUAAAACUUAAAUUAAAAUGGCGAGAAUAAAUUCUAAAAUUGAAAUUGAAAUGGCAAUAAUAAAUUGAAGAGAAUUCUAUUGAAAUGAAGCACUUGGGUAUCCGGAUCCGUAUCAACAUGCAUCAUGGGCUAAAUAAUCCGUAUUAAUGCCAAUUAAAUCAUGAGGGGGGAAUCCACACCUCAUGAACCACGCUCUAAUUAAUAUGGUGCUAAGGACUUAUCGUGCCAAAUAAUAAUAACCUUGUACUAGAGGGCCGGUGAAACCAAGGCGAUACUAGACAAGAUUAGUAUUAUUUGUCGACGAGAAGUCAAAACAUCCACAAAAACUAGAGGGGAAGAGAAAAUAAAUUUACCAAAUAAAGCCCAUGACACAUGUUGAGACUUCACCUUCAAUCCAAGCUUGAAAGAAAAUUAGCCACUCAUAAUUGAACUAGGGGCAAAAUGAUAAUUUAUUAAAAUACGAAGAAAAUACAAGAUGGAGAAGGAGUUACAGAAAAUAAAUUCCAAAAAUGGAUUCGGAGAUAUCAAAUUAGGGGGGGAAGGCCCCCUUUUUAUAGAUACAUAGAGUAAAUCAUGGCCAUCGGAUUAAAAACAGUUUGCACGCUCAGGAUUGCGCCACGUCAUCAGUCAACAGUACGUGGUUUGACCACGCGGAUGAACAGUAACACAGUUUGACCCGAGUUGAACAGUAACGCGGUUUGGUUGAAAAUAAUCCUGUGUGAUGCAUGUACUGUACGCGAGAUUUUUCGUCCACUGAUAUGCUGUCACGUCACCAUCAACAGUACAUAAGAAUUUUAGUCCAAUAGGAUCGUGACACCUCAUCAGUCAAUGCCACAUCAUUAGUCAAUGCCACGUCAUCGAUCCGUCUAUAUGAACAGUGUCGUGAACAGUAACGUAGACAGUACCGUACACGUGAAUAGUACCGUACAUGUGAAUAGUAUCAUUUUUCCUUUUAUGCUCCUCCUAAGGUUUUCGACCGUCUUGAGUUCAAAAGUGAUGUCCGUUUUGCCGUCUGAUCUCUCGUUUAUUGUGAAAUGACUAUAAUGCCCCUAAAAUACAUAAAAUACUUAAUUAAAAUAAAACACAUGUAAUUAAAUCACAAGAAGGUUAAAUACAUAAAAGUAAGGGUUGUUAGUAAGACUUGAAAUGUAAAAUGAUGGUUUUCUCCUUUAUAAAUAUGCAUUUUCUAACACUCAACAGUAGUAUGUUACUGGACCAAAAAAGUGCAUACGGUACAUGCAUAUACACGGAAUGACAACCCGGAUGAUGUGUUCUAUCCAAUCAUAACUUGCCACAUGUCGCAAUCAUGAGCGUCUAAAUUGUUUUAAUACAAUGACCAUGAUUUACUCAUUGUAUCUAUAAAUAGGGAGCUCCCCCCUAAUUUGGCACCCCUGAAUUCAUUUUUGAAAUCUAUUUUCUGUGAUUCCUUCUCCAUCUUGUACUUUCUAUGUAUUCUGUAAUCCCCCCAUUGUACUCCUAAUUCAAUUAUGAGUAGCUAAUUUUCUUUCAAGCUUGGGUUGAAGGCAAAGUCUCAAAAUGUUCUAUGGGCUUAAUUUGGUAAAUUUACUUUCUCUUACCCUCUAAUAUUUGUGGAUAUUUUGAUUUUUUAUCGACAGAUAGUAAUAAUCUUGUCUAGAUAUUGCAUUGGUAUAACCGUCUCCCUAGUGCAAGGUUAUUACUAUUUGACACAAUAAGCACUUAACACCAUAUUUAUUAGAGUGGAUUCAUGAGAAGUGGAACCCCCCUCAUGAUUUAAUUGGCACUAAUAAGAAAUAUUAAGUCCAUGGUGCAUGUUGAGUGCAGAUCCAGAGACCCAAGCACUUCAUUUUAAUAGUUUUCACUUUAAUUUCUUCCCGCCAUUCUAAUUUAAAUUUUAGAAUAGUCUAAAUCACUUUCACCACAAAUCCAACCACCCACUUAGAAAAUUAACUUUACAAGCAAUUAAAAUCCAUCUCCUCAUGGGAUCGAGACUCGUCACCGUUGAUCUAUUAUACAAUAGAUUCGUGCAUUUACGAGUUCAAUAAAAUUUAUAAAACAGUCUCAAGAAGGCCUUUCCAUUUAAAAAAAUCUUAAUAUGCAAAUAAUCGCAAAUUAUACUACCCUCUAAGCCAUGAAUUAUAUUGUCCUCUAGUAGAGGUGGCAAAAAUACCCGCCCGGUCCGGACUCGGACCGUACCCGGGUGUUGCCAGCCCGGAUAUGAAGCCGGGUCGGUCUUGGGCAUCACUUAAUAAACCCGGAACCCAGAUUUUAUUAAAAAAAUUAUAAAAUAUAUAUUAUUUUAAAUAUUUUAUAUUUAUUUGACUCAUUUAUUAUACAUAUAUAAAGUUUUAAACACUUAAGUUUACAUUUUCAUAUCAAAUUUUAUUAAAAUAAAUUUAAAACUUAUAAAAUUACCAAAAAAUAAAAAAUAUAUACACAUAAGGCCCGGACUCGGACCGGUUGCAUCCGGGCAAGGUCCGGUCAUGGCAAUACCCGGACCCGGCCUGGGGUUUUGCCAUCUCUAUCCUCCAGGCACAAAUCAUAUUGCCCUAUGAGCAGUGUGCAAAUUAUACUGCCCUUCGAGGCAUGAAUUAUACUACCCUAUGCGUAGUGUGCAAAUAAGCACAAAUUAUAUUGCACUCCGAGGCAUUAAUUAUACAACCUAUUGUGCAAAUUUUAUUGAACUCGCAAGUGCACGAAUCUAUUGUAGAAUAGAUCAAUGGUGACGAGUGUUGAUCCCAUGAGGAGGUUGAUUUUAAUUAUGUGUAGAGUUAAUUUUCUAAGUGGGUGAUUGGAUUUGUGGUGGAAGUGAUUUAGAUUAUCCUAAAAUUUAAAUUAAAAUAAGGGGAAUUAAUUGAAGUGAAAUCUAUUAAAAUGAAGCAUUUGGGUAUCUGGAUCUGCAUUAACAUGCACCAUGAGCUUAAUAUUCCUUAUUAGUGUCAAUUAAAUCAUGAGGGGGGUUUCCACUCCUCAUGAACCACACUCUAAUCAAUACGGUGCUAAGGGCUUAUCGUGCUAAAUAAUAAAACCUUGCACGAGGCAGCCGUUUAUACCAGUGCAGUGUGUAGACAAGAUUAUUACUAUCUGUAGACGAAAAGUCAAAACAUCCACAAAAAUCAGAGGGGAAGAGAAAGUAAAUUUACCAAAUAAAACCCAUGGAACAUGUUGAGAUUUCAUCUUCAACUGAAGCUUGAAAGAAAAUUAACUACUCAUAAUUGAACUACGGGUAAAAUGAAAAUUUAUUAAAAUACAUAGAAAAUACAAGAUGAAGAAGGGAUUACAGAAAAUGGAGCUAAAAAAUGAAUUUAGGGGUGUGGAAUUAGGGCGAAGCCCCUUUUUUAUAGAUACAACGAGUAAAUCAUGGCCAUUAGAUUAAAAUAAUUUGAAUGCUCAGGAUUGCGCCACAUGGCAAGUUCUGAUCGGAUAGAACACAUCAUUAGGGCUGCCAUUCCAUGUAAUGUAUAUAUCGUAUGCACGUUUUUGGGUCCACUGACAUACUGCCACGUCAUCGGUCAACUCUACAUAAUCAUUUUUGUCCAAUAGGAUCGCGACACAUCAGCGGUCAAUGCCAUAUAAGCAGUCAAUGCCACAUCAUUAGUCCAAUCAAAUGCUGCCACGUCAUCGGUCAAUGCCACGUCAUCGGUCAAUGCCACAUUAUCGUGCCGUAUAUGUGAACAGUCUCGUGAAUAGUAUCAUGAACAAUACCAUAUGUGUGAACAGUACCGUAUAUGUGAGCAGUGUCAUUUAUCAUUUUAUGCUCCUAAGGUUUUUGACUGUCCUGAGUUCAAAAUUGUUGUCUGUUUUGCUAUCUGAUCUCUCGUUCAUUGUGAAAUGACCAUAAUGCCCCCUAAAAUACACAAAAUACAUAAUUAUAAUAAACACACAUAAUUAAAUUACAAGGGACUUAAAUACAUAAAAGUAUGGAUGUUAGUAAGACUUUGGAGUGUAAAAUGACGAUUUUCUCCUUUAUAAAUAUACACUUUCUAAUACUCAACACACCUCCCAACUAGUUUGUUGCUAGUCCUUCGCAAAUAAAGCGAAAAUAAAAUUCAAACCCAUAAUGAUUUUUUUUUUAAAUUGUGUUUAUUUAAUCAGACGAAUGAUAGUAAUCAAAUAAAAAUAUAAGCAUUAUCUCUAGUCUAAAGAAACAUCACCCUCACAUCAACCAUCCACAUGCAUUAGUCCAGCAGGCUUUGUCAUAGCUAUAGUAAUCAAUCCACUUUUAAGAAUGACAUGUCAAAUCUCAAAAUCUCACUGAUAGUAGUGACACUCUCACAAAAAAAUUAAACCCAAUAAAAAUAGUCACUCUAAUGAAUGGUAAAUUGAGAGAAAAUAAUAAAGAAGUAAUAUCACAUACUCUCACCAAGAUGAAAGGAAUAUGCCCAUAGCUUAGAAAUAACAUGAUCUUUAAGUCAAACAAAAUGCUAGUCAAACUAAUGUAUUUUUUUCUCUUUUUUUUAAUUUCUUUUAUGCAUCACUACAUCUUUUUAGCCUAUAUAACUAGCUUCUACUUCAGACUAUAGAUCUGUAAAAUCAAGAAGGACUUUUAUUAGGACGUAGCGUAGGCUAAGGACAUGGCUAACAAAGGAGGGAAAAUAUGGAAAACAAAAUAUAUGUUUGAGAAAAAGUAGAGAUCUUUUGGAAAUUACGGUGCAUUUUGCUUAUUUAUUAUUAUUAUUUUUUUCUUUUUCUCUUUUUCUCUUUUUUUUGAAACAACUUUUUUUGUAUGGCACAACUUUACUGAACAAAAUAAUUAUUUACAUUUUUCUCAAACAUAAAUAGGUGAUGAAACUUGUAAGACAUCGGGUGAUAUUCCAAAUCGGAGUGGGUCAAGAUGAUAAGUUGACAAAGAAAAAAAAAUUUAUAUGAAAGAUUCAAAAGAGUUGAUUAUAGAUAUUUCACAAAAGGGAUGGUUAGAAAGGUUCAAACAAGUCAAAUAUGACAUUUCCAUCGACUUUUAGGGCUUUAAAUAAUCUUCCAUAUCUGCUAGUUAGAUGGACCUUCAGAUGUAGCAACACAUUUUUUUUUCUUUUUUAAAAAUUUUAUUUAACCUUUUUUUUUGAGGAUUAACUCAAAGGAAAUCUAGAGAUCAUGUAUAAUAUAAUAAACUGAUAAGCUGUAUGAAGAAUGGGCAAAAAGGGUUACUCUCCAAGAAAAAUUACAGGCUUAAAAACUCAUUUGGUAUUCAUUAUGACAUGUGCAUUCUUUCAAGCAACUCAUAUUUGUCUCCGACAUCAACAUGUAGAGUAACAAACAUGGCGUAACAUCAUUUAAGACCAAAGAUAAUACAAAUACUAAAAUUUAAAAGUCAUCAUGUCAUUCAAUGUUAAAAAAAAAUCACAAUUUUUUUUUGUUCAAACAACAUUCUACCCCCCAACCUAUUCUAAACAUGAAAAGAAAAUAUGCAUGCAUAAAGGUGAAAAUGAUGCAGAAAAACUAAUUAGAAAUGUUACACUUAAAAUGAUAGAAAAAGAAAAUGUCUAAAAAUUUUUUUUUAACUAAGAAGAUGCGUUUCUAGAGUCCCUGCACUUCAUAUUCAGCCAUCUUCGACUCAAAAAUUUGAAAGUGUAUAUUUAUGAAGGAGAAAUUAGAAAGAAGAAGUUAUAAAAUAAAAAAAUUAUUGUCAAAGCUUAAUAAAGAAAAAGAAAAUGUCUGGAUUUUUUUUUUGUUUUUACUUCCAAACUAAGAAGAUGUGUUUCUAGAGUCACUACACUCCAUAUUCAGCCAUCUUCGACUCAAAAAGUUAGCCACGAUUAGUCUCUACAACAAAAAAUCAAUAAAAACUUAACCAAGAUUGAGACAUUCCAUAAUUGUCAGCUAUUCCCUCCCCCUAACCAGAACGAAAUAUUAUCCUCAAUGUUUUAAAAGAAAGAAAUAGAGUUUAGAAGACAUCACCUCGGUGUUGCAACAUAGAAGAAAAUACUUACAAGCGGAGAGUUAAAUCUAAUUUGCACUUCUUACUGUGGCUACUAUUACCAUUAUUAUUUGGAUGCUCCAACACAAAAGUCCUGAGGUCUAGCUCUAGUCUAUAGACUUAUAACAGAUCAAGUAGCACAUUAGCAGUGUAAGCACAAAUAAAAAUAUUUUUCGCUGUGGAAGGAAUGAAAUAGUUUUUUAUUACAUGGUUAAGAAAUGUGAUAAAGUCAUCAUAAAAGUUAUUGAUAUUUAACAAAUCGAUGGGUUUCUGAUGAAUGUUCAGAUGGGUCCAAGAUGCUAAUGUAAUUAGUGCCUCCAGAGUUGCAAGAUCUCUUGGUAGGAAAAAAAAAUUAGCAUGAUUUAUUAUUUCAGUUAUUCUCUCUUACAUACCUAAGACGACUAACUCUUCUCUAGUUGGUGAGUCAGACAAACAGCCCAAAGGUUUUAGGUUUCUUGGGAUGAUGCCUAACACUUGGCUCCCUCUGACAUAAGCAGUUUCUAAGACUAAUUUUGAUAACCCUCGGUCACCUCCUCCAUAUACCAAUUGUAAUUUCCUUGCUGUUAUACUUUGAUCAAGAUCUAUGGCUGUCUCAACAAACUCUUUAUAUUUGUCAUAGUUAAACCAAGGGAGCACAUAAAUGUUCUUGAAUUGUUUAUUGGGAGUAGCUGCAAUUGGGAUAAUUCUAAAAACUAAUUUUUGAGUGCUUUAAAAAUUUCAUAUUUAAGGAUCUUGGUGACAGUGGGUCACAGUUAUGUGUGAGGUAGCAUGUUUUUGUCAAUUAACGCGUAAAGCACAUGGCUCGAGAGUAAAAAAAGAAACAGUAAAAAGGAAAAAACAAACAAUGAUAAAAUAAAAUUAUUAAAGACAAUAAUGCAAAUAAUAAAAUAACAGUGAAGUAAAAUGAUAUUUACAAGUAGUUGUGACUGUGGCUCACAUCUUCCUCUAGUUUUACGUCUAGAAACGGCUUGAACGCCCUCUAUGAGUCGAGGAUAGGCUUCCCAUCCAGUUUUCUUAUAAACUGGCAAACAGGGUUGUUUAUAGUUAGAUUCCCGAGACUAUAUCGUUCAUACUCUUUUUGGAAUAAUGGCCAUAAUUGGAGAAUUGCUCCUUGUACGUAUCCACUGGGAUGCGUUUCAAGAGACAAAAGGAUAUCAUCCAAUGACUCCUUAUUCAAGCCAUUCCUAAUGAAUUGAAUCUUGUCUUCCCUGUUAUCAGACACCAUUCCUAAAGAACAUGGAUUUUUUUUUGCAUCUCAUUCUGGCAUACUUAUGACAAGCAACAGAAAGUUUUUGAGCUAUUCUUUUUCUUGCAUAACUUCCUUUACCACAACCAGGCAUGUAUGCAAUAAAUUUAGGAGGCAACUCACCUACCAAUCAUACUUUGGUCUCGAUAACCAGCAGAUGUCAGCAGGUAUGUUAUUCCUCAUAAGUAAUCGCAUGCAUUCGGAUCGAGCUUUAUAGAUUGUAAGGAGGGCAUUCUGAGGAAGUGAAGGAAAUCUAUUGUGAAGCUUUACUAAAAUCUCAUUUCUAUCCGUACUUUCGCCUUAAAAUAUCAGUUAUUAUGGGAAACUAAAGUAACCGACUUGAUUAUCACGGAGUAUCGUUAUCCGCCACUUAACUGGGGUAACAAACUAAAGCACACAAACAAAGUAACAAACUAAAACAUACAAAGAAAAUUACAAUCGUCCUCUUAUUGAAUUUACCUUAAGCUCCAACUAGAUGUCGUAGAUACCUCCCUCAAUUUCUCUGAGUUGUUUUUCUAAAGCCUCAACAUUGGAUACUAACUCUAGUGGUUGUAGAUUCCAAAUAUGAUAUAUUUUACAAAAUUGAAUCUGGCUUCUGAGAUGAUAUUUUACACAUUGAAGUUGUCUAAGAAGGUCUAAGAGGAUCUGUCUAGCUGAAGCACUCAUGAUUAACAAUGAUAAAAGAAAACUUACUGGUUAAACAAUUACACUUAUGCAAAAAUAAUUUCAAUUAGCAAAAGAAUAGUAAAAAGAAAAAAAGAAAAAAAAUCAAAUCAAAUCAUCGAAAAGAAAGAAAAAUCUCAAUUCAAAUUUGGUGGGUCACUUAAAUUUAUUUCGGUAUCCUUUCCUUGUGGUUGGUACUCUAGAUAUGGCUUUAAUCUUUAACUAUUAACUUUAAAAGUGACACCAUUCUUUGGAUCCUUAAUUUCAAUUACUCCAUGUGGAAAAACAAUAUGAACAAUAAAAGGGCUAGACCAUCAAGAGCAUAACUUACCUAGGAAUAAAUGCAAGCGAGAAUUGAAUAAAAACACUUUUUGACCUAGGGUGAAAGAUUUUCUCAAAAUUUGCUUGUCAUGAAAGACUUUCAUUGGCUGCUUGUAAAUCUUGGCAGUUUCGUAUGCAUCAUUGUAAAUUUCUUCAAGUUCUGCCAGCUGUAAUCUUCUUUCUGAGCUAGCUUGCUGCAUGUCAAAGUUAAAUUUCUUAAUGGCCCAGUACACACGAUGUUUGAGUUCUAUAGGUAAGUGGCAAGCUUUUCCAUACACUAACCUGUAGAGUGACAUCUCAAUCGAGGUCUUGAAAGUCGUUCUAUAUGUCUAUAAUGCAUCAUCGAGUCUCAAUGACCAAUCUUUUCUGUCUGGCCUCACCGUCUUUUCUAAUAUGUGCUUUAUUUCUCGAUUGGAGAUCUUGCCACUUUGUGAGUGAUGGAAUCAAAAGAGCUUUGAAUGAUUUUUUACAAACGUGGGCACCACCAUAACUGAUUAUUGCUCGAGGGAAUCCAAAGCGUGAAACAAUGUUGCUUUUCGAAAAUCUUAUCACUACCUUGUGAUCAUUGAUUCUACAUAGAAUUGCUUCUACCCAUUUCGAUGCGUAGUCAACAGCAAUCAAUAUGUAUUGAUGGCCAAAAUAAUGGGGAAAUGGUCCCAUGAAGUCGAUAGUGGCAUUAUAUUCCUUCGUGUAAUGCUCCUCAUUUGACACCUAUCACAUGAAAGCAAAAAGUGUAAGCAUCUCGAAAUACAGUUGGCCAAUAGAAACCACAUUGUAAAACUUUAAUAGCUGUUUUCUUAGAUCUGAAAUGGCCUCCACAAGCUUGUUCAUGGCAGAAUGAAAGGAUAUUUAGAAAUUCACUUUCUAGGACACAUCCUCUGAUAAUUUGAUAUGUACAAUACUUGAACAGAUAAGGAUCAUCCCAAAAGGAAUUCUUUAUUUUCAUAAAAAAAUUGGCUUUGUCCUGCUUAGUCCAAUGCUUUGGAAGUUGACCUAUAACAAGAUAAUUAAUUAUAUCAGCAUACCAUGGUAAUACUUCCACACUCAUCAAUUGUUCAUCUAGAAAUGACUCAUUCAAUGUUAAUGGUUCUGUAAUUGUGUCAAAUUGAGACGAGAGAGAUGGUCAGUUACAACAUUUUAUGUGCCUUUUUUAUCUUUUUGAAUUUUCAAGUCAAAUUCCUACAAAAGUAACAUCUAACGAAUUGGUCUAGCUUUUGUAUCUUUCUUUGUGAGAAGAUAUUUAAGAGCAGCAUGAUCUGUGAAUACAAUUAUUUUACAACCAAUGAGAUAAGAUUAAAAUUUCUCUAAUGCAAACACUACUGCUAGCAUUUCUUUUUCAGUGGUUGAAUAGUUCAACUGUGCAUCAUUCAAUGUCAUAUUAUCAUAGUAAAUAAAAUGGGGAAUUCAAUCAAGUAUUUAUCCUAAUACUGCUCCCACUACAUAAUCAGAUGCAUCACACAUGAGCUCAAAUGGUAAGUUCCAGUUUGGGGGCUGAAUGAUGGGUGAUGAUGUCAACAACUGCUUUAGUUUUUCAAAUGCCACAAGAAAUGAAUCAUCAAAGAUAAAAGGUACAUCCUUAGCAAGUAGAUUGCAUAAGGGUCUAGAAACUUUGCUAAAAUAUUUAAUGAAACGUCUAUAAAAACCAGCAUGCCCAAGGAAAGAUCUUACUUCUCUUACUGUUUUAGGUGGAGGAAGAUUGGAAAUGAGAUAUACCUUGACUUUAUCAACCUCAAUACCUCUGCUCGAAAUAAUGUGACUGAGAACAAUACCUUAUUUUACCAUAAAAUGGUACUUCUCCCAAUUUAAGACCAAGUUCUUCUCUAUACAUAUUUGCAGAACUAGUGUUAGAUAAUGUAAACAUUGAUCGGAUGAAUCACCAAAAAUAGAAAAUUCAUCCAUAAAGACUUUAAGGAAUCGUUAAACCAUAUCAGAAAAAUACUUAACAUGCAUCGUUGAAAUGUAGUCGGUGCAUUACAUAAUCUAAAUGACAUUCUCCUAUGUGCAAAAGUGCGAAAAGGGCAAGUGAAAGUGGUCUUCUCUUGAUCUUUUAGUACUAGGGAAUCUAAUUAUACCCUGUGUAGCCGUUUAGAAAGCAAUAAAAUUCAUGACAUGCUAAUCUAUCAAGCAUUUGAUCGAUAAAUGGUAAAAGAAAAUAGUCUUUACGUGUGACAGAAUUCAACUUUCUAUAAUCAAUGCAUACAGGCCACCCUGUAGUCACUCUAGUGGGUAUCAAUUCAUUAUCAGCAUUGGUAACUACUGUGACUCCUGACUUUUUAGGGACAAUUGAACAGGACUGGCCCAUGAACUAUUAGAAAUUGGGUAAAUGGUACUUGUGUCUAAUAGUUUAAGGACUUCAAUUCUAACAACUUCUUUUAUGUUAGGAUUUAAUCGACGUUGCAUUUCCUAGUAGGUUUAACAUUUUCAUCAAGGUGAAUGUAAUGCAUGCAGUCUACUGGGUUUAUACAUUUUAUGUCGGCGAUGGUCUAUUUUAAUGCUCAUUUGUGCUCUUUUAAAAAUUCCAACAACUAAUGUUUUUGUUCGUCAUUUAAGGUUGAUGAGAUGAUUACUGGUAGAGUGUUUUCUUCUCCCAAGAACGCAUAUUCCAAAGUGUUGGGUAAUGGUUUGAGCUUGAAUUUUGGUGGGGAUUCUGAUGAUGGGCUGGGUUUCUUUCCUGAUGGUGCUAGUUGUUCAACUCUUAACUUUCAUUUAUUAGUAUCCAUGGAUGGUGCUAAGUCAAGUAGGGCAUUGACCUCAUCGACUUAUCUGGCAAUAUCAAAAUCCAAACCAAAGUAAGUUAAACAUGUUUGUAAAUGGUCAUACUAAGGUUUGAAAGAAAAGUAUCAUCAACUAUUUCUUCUAUUAAAUUCACAUCAACAAUUUCAUCAUCUGCAUUGUAAGGUUGUUUGGCAAUGUUGAAAAUAUUUAGCUCCAUAGUCAUGUUGCCAAAGGAGAACUGCAUAUUUCCAAUCCUGCAUUGAAUGUGAGAAUCGGCAGUUGCCAAGAAAGGUCGGCCUAGGAUAAUGGAAAUGUGCUUCCUUGAAUCCUGGACUGAUUGAGUGUCAAUUACAAUGAAAUCAAUAGGAAAAUAAAACUUGUAUACUUGGAUAAGCACGUCCUCCACAAUACCACGAGGGAUUUUCAUGAAUCGAUCUGCAAGUUGUAACACCACUGGAGUUGGAUGUAAUUCUCCCAGUCCAAGUUUCAUAAAUACUAAGUAGGGUAACAGAUUUACACUAGCUCUUAAAUCUAACAAAACAUUCUCAAUUGUAUGGUUCCCUAUACUACACAAGAUAAGGGGGGAGCCUGGGUCUUUGUAUUUUAGAGGAAUUUUUUGUUGGAGUAUAGAACUAACGUUUUCUAUUAAAAAGGCCUUCUUUUGAACGUGAAUGUUUCUCUUUUUAAUAUAAAAGUGUUUAAGAAACUAGGCAUAAGAUGAGACUUGUUUUAUAGCAUCAAGCAAAGUGAUGUUAACACUUACCUGUUUGAAGAUUUAAAAAAUCUCACUUGUGGAUUUUUCCUUCUUUUCUUUUGCUAACCUCUGAGGAAAAUGAGCUUUAGGCACGUAUUCUCGUGGGUUGGUUUCUUCUUUCUCCUCUGAUGAUGAAUCCUCGGCAUUCACAGGUACAAUUUGAGUUGUUUUUGUCACCAGCAUCUUUACUUUGUUGUCGACUUCUUUUCCUUUUCGCAAGGUUUUGACGACUUUGACCUCUCUAUGUUGUUGUGGUGAACAGGUAUUUACUUCAUGCACUCCUUUAAGAUUAGGCACUGAUUGACUUGGGAAUUUGCCUUUCUCAACAAUUAUUGCCAAAGUUUGAAUUGAAGAAGCAAGUUGUCCCACUAUCUUCUCGAGGUUUGAAACUGAUUGGGCUUGUGAGUUGAAGCCUACUCUCAUCUCAUUUCGUAGUUCAUUAAUGGUGCGAUUAUGUUGCUCGAUCAUGGAGUGAGUAAAAUUCUUGAAAUUCUGGAAUGCAUCCUCCCAUAGUCUGGAUUGAGAGAAAUUCAGGUUCUGAUUGUAUGGUCUAAAUAGUGGCUGAGAGGCUUAAGGAACUUGAGAAAUUGGUUGCAUUGGUGGAGCUGGAGCUGCUGGUCCAUUCUGUUGGAAUCCUUAAGACCAUGAAAAAUUGGGAUGGUCUCUCCAUCCAGGAAAUACCUUCAACCAUCUUUUUGACUUAUUUAAUUUCAGAACUUGACUCGCCAAUGUGAAUCUCAUUCACUCCCUUAAUUCUAUUAACAUUCCUGAGUGAUCGACUCCGUUGUUAGGAAUUAUCCGCUUGUCGCUAGAAGAAAUCCCAAAUCUCUGAUGCAUUUUUUGACAUUAGCUCUCCUUUACUUGUUUUAAUUAGUCAUUCUUACACAUGCGGCAAUAAUCCCUCCAAAAAGUAUUGGCAUUGGUGCCAUUUCUCGUACCCAUGAUGUGGACACUUCAAGAGUAGCCCAUUGAAUCGCUCCCAUGCUUCGAAAAAUUGCUCGUCUUUUCUCUGGAUAAACUCUGAAAUUUCCCUGCGAAUAGCAUUGGUUUUAUGCACUAGGAAGUGUUUAUUCAAAAAAUUUGUUACCAUUUGUUCCCAUGAUGUAAUGCUAUUAGCAGGUAAUGUAUUGAACCAUGAACGAGCUCUAUCCUCUAAAGAAAAUGGGAAUAAUCUAAGUUUAACAUCAUCAUCUGAAAAAUUCUCAUAUUUAAAAAUUUGACAAACUGAAUGAAAAUCAUUCAGAUGAUUAUAUGGGUCUUCAUUUUCUAGGCUAUAGAAUGUUGGGAGACAAUUUAGCACACUAGGUUUUAACUCAAAACUCCUAGCAGCUACAUUUGGGUAUCUUAUACAUCAUGUGCUCAAAUUAGCUAAGAGACUGAAGUAGUCCUUAAAUGGCCUCUCAUGUGGUGCUGGUUUUGGUUGUUGUUGCAAAUCCAUUUCACUUUUAUCUUUAAUUACAACGUGUAUGUGUGUGCGAAGUGCUUUUUCCAAUUCAAACCUUAUCACUUUUAUCUUCGACCAUGCAUGCAAAUAAUACAAAAAGAAAUGAGAACAAAAUUAAUAAAAAUUAAGAAGAAUGAGAAAUUACGAUACUAACCUUAUCACGUUGUUACAACCUUGCAAUGAAAACACACUAAAAAAAUAAGUGAAAUAAAUUAACUAAAAUUAAAAUAAAUUAAUAAGAUAAACAAAAAAAUUACAAAGAAAAAUAGCUUGAAAAUUAAAUUACAGAACUUUAAAGAAGAGAGAAAAAAUAAAAGAAAUUCUUACCUCAAAAUUGAAGAUUCACUUUUUUUUAAAUAAAAAAAAAUUACAAUGAAACAAACUUUAUUGAACUCACAAGUGCACGAAUCUAUUGUAGAAUAGAUCAAUGGUGACGCGUGUCGAUCUCAUGAAGGAUGUGGAUUUUAAUUAUGUGUAGAGUUAAUUUUCUAAGUGGGUGAUUGGAUUUGUAGUGGAAGUGAUUUAAAUUAUCUUAAAAUUUAAAUUAAAAUGGCGUGAAUAAAUUGAAGUGAAAUCUAUUAAAAUGAAGCACUUGGGUAUCUGGAUCUGCAUCAGCAUGCACCAUGGGCUUAAUAUUCCUUAUUAGUACCAAUUAAAUCAUGAGGGAGAUUUUCACUCCUCAUGAACCACACUCUAAUCAAUAUGGUGCUAACGGCUUAUCGUGCCUAAUAUUAAUAACCUUGCACUAGGGAGCUGACUAUACCAGUGCGGUAUCUAGAUAAGAUUAUUACUAUUUAUCGACAAAACGUCAAAACAUCCACAAAAAUCAGAGGGAAAAAGAAAGUAAAUUUACCAAAUAAAGCCCAUGAAACAUGUUGAGACUUCACCUUCAACGCAAGCUUGAAAGAUAACUAGCUACUCAUAAUUGAACUAGGGGUAAAAUGAAAAUUUAUUAAAAUACGUAAAAAAUACAAGAUGGAGAAGGAAAUACAGAAAAUGGAUCUAAAAAAUGAAUUUCGGGGUGUCGAAUUGGGGGGGAGCCCCCUUUUGUACAUACAAUGAGUAAAUCAUAGCCAUCAGAUUAAAACAAUUUGGACGCUCAGAAUUGCGCCACGUGGCAAGUUCUAAUUAGAUAGAACACAUCAUCAGGGCUGUCAUUCCAUGUAAUGCAUGUAUCGUAUGCACGUUUUUUGAUCCACUGACAAACUGCCACGUAGGCUUGGCAAAAUCUGGGUCCAAUUCGGGUUUUGGUGUUGCCCAGGACCAGACCGGAUGAGUGAAACUCAAGACCGGACCCGGGUUAAAACACGAUUUUUUCGAGUGCGGUCCGGGCUCAAGCCCAGCACUCGUUAGGCCUGGGUUUUUUAUCCGGAUUUCUAAGCCCGCAUGUGAUAAAUUCAAUUUUUUUCUUCAAUUUUUUCUUUCAUUUCUCUAACAAUGCAAAUUUUUAAAAAAGAAAAUA